AACGAACGCUGGCGGCAGGCCUAACACAUGCAAGUCGAGCGAAGCCUUCGGGCUUAGCGGCGGACGGGUGAGUAACGCGUGGGAACGUGCCCUUUGCUACGGAAUAGCCCCGGGAAACUGGGAGUAAUACCGUAUGUGCCCUUCGGGGGAAAGAUUUAUCGGCAAAGGAUCGGCCCGCGUUGGAUUAGGUAGUUGGUGGGGUAAUGGCCUACCAAGCCGACGAUCCAUAGCUGGUUUGAGAGGAUGAUCAGCCACACUGGGACUGAGACACGGGCCAGACUCCUACGGGAGGCAGCAGUGGGGAAUCUUGAACAAUGGGGGAAACCCUGAUCUAGCCAUGCCGCGUGAUCGAUGAAGGCCUUAGGGUUGUAAAGAUCUUUCAGUGGUGAAGAUAAUGACUGUACCCACAGAAGAAGCCCCGGCUAACUCCGUGCCAGCCGCCGCCGUAACAC
rnacentral:rRNA from 1 species